GUCUAAUACGACCAAGCUAAUAUUAUCUUGAUUCACUUCUACAAGAGGUGUGAAAUUGGAAAAAAUUGAAAGAACUCGAAUCUGUUUCUAGUCAAAGAGGCCAAAUGCAUCCAUUU
rnacentral:misc_RNA from 1 species